GCUUUAAAAUGGCGGACAAGAGUUCUGAAGCCAUGAAUGUACGAUUUCUGAUAAAUACUAGAACUCAACGCAUCGUAUAUGCCGAAGCGGGUAAAAAGUUUGUUGAUUUUCUGUUUAGUUUUCUUUCCAUGCCCAUCGGUUCUAUCCUCAAAUUAAUGUAUGCAUUGGAAUCCAAUAGAAAAAUUGCCUCUGUAUCCAAUCUGUAUGAUAGCAUGGAAAAAUUGUCCUCUUUGUUUCUGAUCAUGGAUAAAUCCCAACUGCUUGACCCCAAAUUUAUAACUCCCUACUUUAAUAACUCUCUGAGUAUUGAAGGUGGAAAUUAUUACGUUUGUAGUUACCUUAUCAACGGUAUGAGCAAAACUCGCACUAUCAAGAAGGUUGCUUGUAAAUCGCGGGAUUAUGAUAAUGACGGUAUGAGCACAACUCACAAUAUCAGCUCCAGCAGCGCAGAUAUUUGUAUCUGUUGAAAACCUAUCAACCACCUCGUUCAGCUGCGGCAGAAUACCAAUACCAGCGGAAGUAGCAGCCAAACUCUAGGGCAAACGCAAGGGAACAGCGGUUAUGUGAAAGAAAUGCUUACAUUUAUAAUAACUGACGACUUGAAGAUAAAAGGGAGUUCAACUAUCACCAGUAUAACGUUACUCAAUCAGCUCAAUAUUAAAGAUUUGACAGAUCUUGAAGAGCGGACUGCAACUGUUGAUCGCAACAAGGCACUGGAGAUUUUGGAGGCAUCUUUGAUUUCCACAACUGUGUUGAACGAUGUGUUUGGAGCUGAGUUUUCCCUCUCACGGAAGGUAAAAUUAAUUACAGCAGAUCAUCAUUUUCGUUGUCUGCUAAUCACUCUUUGUGAUAACAUUUCACCUGUAAAAUUUUAUCUCGUGUUGCAGGCUUACUUUUUGAAAAUGAGUGGGAGCGGGAGUGCAAGGUUUGCUCAAGCGAGAGAUGGUUGUAGGGAAUCUAGUUUAAAAGCUGGUGGAUCACUAUUGGAAGCUUCAGGUAUGGAUCAAAAGGCAGGAGGAUUAGAUAACAGUCAAAUUGAUGUUGAUUAUGAGGAUGGGGACCCACAGUUUGGGCGCCAAAUAUAUGCAUCGACUCCCUCUGCCUUUAAAGCCAUUCUCUCAAUCUCACAUCAUCCUAAUCUAAGAUACUUUGAUUUGCAAAAGAAUUCUCUUUCAUCAAUCCAGGUCAAGUUUUCUUCGUUGAAUUUUUUAGUAUUGCUACCUUCCUGCUUUAAAAUGGAAGACAAGAGCUCUCAAGGCAUGGCGGACAAGAGCUCUGAAGCCAUGAAUGUACGAUUUCUGAUAAAUACUAGAACUCAACGCAUCGUAUAUGCAGAAGCGGGUAAAGAGUUUGUUGAUUUUCUGUUUAGUUUUCUUUCCAUGCCCAUCGGUUCUAUCCUCAAAUUACUGUAUGCAUUGGAAUCCAAUAGAAAAAUUGGCUCUGUAUCCAAUCUGUAUGAUAGCAUGGAAAAAUUGUCCUCUUUGUUUCUGAUCACGGAUAAAUCCCAACUGCUUGACCCCAAAUUUAUAACUCCCUACUUUAAUAACUCUCUGAGUAUUGAAGGUGGAAAAUAUUAUGUUUGUAGUUACCUUAUCGGGAGGGGUUCUUCUUCUUCGUGGGUUUAUGAUAGUGACGGGGGUAUGAGCACAACUCACAAUAUCAGCACCAGCAAGACAGAUAUUUGUAUCUGUGGAAAACCUAUCAACCACCUCGUUGAGCUGCUGCAGAAUACCAAUACCAGCGGAAGUAGCAGCCAAACUGCAGGGCAAGGGCAAGGGCAACGGAAGAGCAGUUAUGUGAAAGAAAUGCUUACAUUUAUAAUAACUGACGACUUGACGAUAAAAGGGAGUUCAACUAUCACCAGUAUAACGUUACUCAAUCAGCUCAAUAUUAAAGAUUUGACAGAUCUUGAAGAGCGGACUGCAAUUGUUGAUCGCAAUAAGGCACUGGAGAUUUUGGAGACAUCUUUGAUUUCCACAACUGUGUUGAACGAUGUGUUUGCUGCUGAGUUUUCCCUCUCACGCAAGGCGUGCGUAGAAGAAUGAGCUUUAUCAUGGAUGCCAUGAGACUAUAGUUGCAGACAGUGAAGUGCAUCACGCUUUAAAAACAUGGGAUUUUAUGAGCAAUCGUAAAAAUAGGAGUGAUCUGUCUGUAUUCUCUUUGGUAGCAUAAGAUAGUUACUUAAAAGCUUGUUUUUCCUGAUAGUAAGCUAUCAACAGCAAGACAGUGCACAGUAGUAUGGUUUCUCCAUGUUUUUUUCUAAUGAAUCUUUUCGUCCGUUGCUGUUCCAACUAUGGGUAGCUUGUAAAAUGUUACAUAUUCAAUAAUAUAAGUGUUGCUUAAAUAUAAUAAUUUUA